AUACGUAGGGUGCGAGCGUUGUCCGGAAUUAUUGGGCGUAAAGCGCAUGUAGGCGGUUUGGUAAGUCGGUCGUGAAAAUGCGGGGCUUAACCGCGUAUGGGGAUCGAAACUGCUGAACUUGAGGGCAGGAGAGGAAAGGGGAACUUACAGGGUAAGGGGGGAAUGCGUAGAUAUUGGGAAGAACACCGGUGGCGAAGGCGCCUUUCUGGACUGUGUCUGACGCUCAGAUGCGAAAGCCAGGGUAGCGAACGGGAUUAGAUACCCCGGUAGUCCUGGCCGUAAACGAUGGGUACUAGGUGUGGGAGGUAUCGACUCCUUCCGUGCCGGAGUUAACGCAAUAAGUACCCCGCCUGGGGAGUACGGCCGCAAGGCUAAAACUCAAAUGAAUUGACGGGG
rnacentral:rRNA from 1 species